GCACUAUAAACUCUGCUAGAUAAGGCAGGUGAAAGAAAAAGUCUUCAAGAAACAUGAGUAGAUUGGCUUUGACUGUGUAUAGUUUGGAGCACCAAGAUAAUCUAGGACACAAAGUUUAAACUUGAAGACCAGAGUGGAGUUAUUUAUUUGAAGUCUCUUUGAAUUCAUCAGACUCUGCCUUACACAACAGAUCUGUGAGAUAUAUAGGACAACAUAUUUAUUGUUACCUGCAUAGUUCAUCUGGAGGAUCAUGCAGUCAAAUUCUACACAUUAUCAAUGAUCAGUAAAUAAAC
rnacentral:lncRNA from 1 species